CCUACGGGAGGCAGCAGUGAGGAAUAUUGGUCAAUGGGCGGAAGCCUGAACCAGCCAAGUAGCGUGCGGGAUGAAGGCCCUACGGGUUGUAAACCUCUUUUAUGCGGGGAUAAAGGUGUCCACGUGUGGAUGUUUGCAGGUACCGCAUGAAUAAGGACCGGCUAAUUCGGUGCCAGCAGCCGCGGUAAUACGGAAGGUCCGGGCGUUAUCCGGAUUCAUUGGGCUUAAAGGGAGCGUAGGCGGGUGUUCAAGUCAGCUGUAAAAUCGCGCGGCUCAACCGCGCCCCGCAGUUGAAACUGGACGCCUUGAGUUCACAACAGGCAGGCGGAAUUCGUGGUGUAGCGGUGAAAUGCAUAGAUAUCACGAGGAACCCCGAUUGCGAAGGCAGCCUGCCGGGGUGCGACUGACGCUGAGGCUCGAAGGUGCGGGUAUCAAACAGGAUUAGAUACCCGUGUAGUC
rnacentral:rRNA from 1 species